rnacentral:rRNA from 1 species
AGUGAACGCUGGCGGCGUGCUUAACACAUGCAAGUCGAACGAGAACGGGUUAUAGCUUGCUAUAAUUGUCAGCUAAGUGGCGCACGGGUGAGUAAUGUAUAGGUAAUAUGCCUCUUACUAAGGGAUAACAAAUGGAAACGUUUGCUAAUACCUUAUACUCCUUAUUAACAUAAGUUAAUAAGGGAAAGAUUUAUUGGUAAGAGAUUAGCCUGUAUUGUAUCAGUUAGUUGGUGGGGUAAUGGCUUACAAAGACUAUGACACAUAACUGGUUUGAGAGGAUGAUCAGUCACACGGGAACUGAGACACGGUCCAGACUCCCACGGGGGGCAGCAGUGGGGAAUAUUGUACAAUGGACGAAAGUCUGAUGCAGCAACGCCGCGUGGAGGAUGACACAUUUCGGUGCGUAAACUCCUUUUAUAUGAGAAGAUAAUGACGGUAUUAUAUGAAUAAGCACCGGCUAACUCCGUGCCAGCAGCCGCCGUAA